rnacentral:lncRNA from 1 species
CACAUUUAGAAUAUGAUAACCACUUCCAUGUAUUUAGAAGAAAUCGUCCCAUCCUCCUGUCCUAGCCUAAGGCAGCUUUAAUUUUUUAAUUUAUCACUUGUGACUAUCAUUAGAGCCUCUUGUAAUUAUGAUCACAACAAUUGAUUAUAUAAAAGUUACUUCUCCUUUCACAUGUCCAAGGAUAAAUCAAGAAAAUUUUAUAAGCAUCAGGAGAAUAUUAGUGAAUGUAGAUAGAGUUCUGAGCACAUAGAUUGAAAUAUAUAUAUGAGUUCCAGAACUACAAACUUUUUUCAUCAAAGGCCACCACUUGUUAUUUAAGUAGACAAUGUCAAGUGAAGACCUCUUACAAUAUAAAUAUGAUUUGAUUGGUCAAAUGCAAUAUAU